rnacentral:rRNA from 1 species
GAGUUUGAUCCUGGCUCAGGACGAACGCUGGCGGCGUGCCUAAUACAUGCAAGUCGAGCGGACAGAUGGGAGCUUGCUCCCUGAUGUUAGCGGCGGACGGGUGAGUAACACGUGGGCAACCUGCCUGUAAGACUGGGAUAACUCCGGGAAACCGGGGCUAAUACCGGAUGGUUGUUUGAACCGCAUGGUUCAAACAUAAAAGGUGGCUUCGGCUACCACUUACAGAUGGACCCGCGGCGCAUUAGCUAGUUGGUGAGGUAAUGGCUCACCAAGGCAACGAUGCGUAGCCGACCUGAGAGGGUGAUCGGCCACACUGGGACUGAGACACGGCCCAGACUCCUACGGGAGGCAGCAGUAGGGAAUCUUCCGCAAUGGACGAAAGUCUGACGGAGCAACGCCGCGUGAGUGAUGAAGGUUUUCGGAUCGUAAAGCUCUGUUGUUAGGGAAGAACAAGUACCGUUCGAAUAGGGCGGUACCUUGACGGUACCUAACCAGAAAGCCACGGCUAACUACGUGCCAGCAGCCGCGGUAAUACGUAGGUGGCAAGCGUUGUCCGGAAUUAUUGGGCGUAAAGGGCUCGCAGGCGGUUUCUUAAGUCUGAUGUGAAAGCCCCCGGCUCAACCGGGGAGGGUCAUUGGAAACUGGGGAACUUGAGUGCAGAAGAGGAGAGUGGAAUUCCACGUGUAGCGGUGAAAUGCGUAGAGAUGUGGAGGAACACCAGUGGCGAAGGCGACUCUCUGGUCUGUAACUGACGCUGAGGAGCGAAAGCGUGGGGGAGCGAACAGGAUUAGAUACCCUGGUAGGUCCACGGCCGGUAAACGAUGAAGUGCCUAAAGUGAUAGGGGGUAUAUUCCGGCCCCCCCUUUUUAAAGUUUGC